rnacentral:rRNA from 1 species
CAGAACGAACGCUGGCGGCAGGCUUAACACAUGCAAGUCGAACGCCCCGCAAGGGGAGUGGCAGACGGGUGAGUAACGCGUGGGAACCUACCCAAAGGUACGGAACAACCAAGGGAAACUUUGGCUAAUACCGUAUACGCCCUACGGGGGAAAGAUUUAUCGCCUUUGGACGGGCCCGCGUUGGAUUAGCUAGUUGGUGGGGUAAUGGCCUACCAAGGCGACGAUCCAUAGCUGGUCUGAGAGGAUGAUCAGCCACACUGGGACUGAGACACGGCCCAGACUCCUACGGGAGGCAGCAGUGGGGAAUCUUGGACAAUGGGGGAAACCCUUGAUCCAGCCAUGCCGCGUGAGUGAAGAAGGCCUUAGGGUUGUAAAGCUCUUUCGGCGGGGACGAUAAUGACGGUACCCGCAGAAGAAGCCCCGGCUAACUCCGUGCCAGCCGCUGC